CCAGAGGGAGAGCAAGAGUGCAUGAAAACGCUUUUUCUUCCCCACACAGUGCUAUGAAUGUGUGACUAAGCGCAGAGGAUUAGGUUGAGCGUCAAAAGUGAUGUUAAGUCUUUUAGUGUGGUUGACUGGGAUGGUGAAGCCACUAAAAGAGGGAACACAGAAGUUUUUGUGGACUUUGGGACACUUACAUUCAGGAGAAUCAAAGGGACUGAAAGAGAACUGGGAUGGAGGAGAAUUAGAGGAUGGUGUGGUGUUUCCCAAGACAUCCCCUGAUCUUGCUAUCCCAGCAUCUCCUAGACCUUCCCAAGAUCCAGCAACUAAAAGUAUAACACUUGUCACAAGAAGGCUAAGGUUGGCCUAUGUUCUAAUUGGGGGUGAUGUGGGGGUAAGAUGGGGAGUAUAUGGGAACACAAUCACAAACUAAAGCUUAUAUACUAACACUUUUUUGGGAAGUUCAAUGUCAAGGAAGUUGGAGUGAGCAGGAAAGGGAAGUGAGGCAGGAAGGGAGACAGCAAAUACAAGAGAGAACAUGAAGAUGUGAC
rnacentral:lncRNA from 1 species